rnacentral:lncRNA from 1 species
GCUCCUAGAGACUGUUCUUUUUCCUGCCCCUUAGGAGACACAGACACCGUAGCAACCGCACUAAGCCCAGCGGUAAUGUGUUUUCCUAUAUGGAGUUCCACCCACCUAUGCAGGAGUCCACCACUGACUAUCUUCAUCAUAAGCCACCCUGCCCCCAACCAGCACUAUGCUCAAAGGCAAAAGAAACAACCAAACAAACAUGAAAUGCUGGUGAAAACUGCUUUUGAAAUUCCACAUGCCCUUAAAUGUUAAAUGCAGAGAACAGUUCUUAUGUCCCCAGCUUCAAAUAAAUUCAAACUGGGUCCUGUCUGGACACCACCACCAGCACCCACCUCUCCCCUGACAAGGGGCAAUGGGUAAUAGAAGGCUACCAUGAGACAGGCAAGAAUCACUGGAACAAGCCAAUCACUUCUCCCCCGCCUCUAGACACCCCCUCUCCAGGGGACAGAAGAUCCCCACCUGUUUGACUACUCUUCUUCAAAUAGUACAUCCCUCAAUCCCACCCAGCAAGAGACACUGGCUCUCCAAACACAGCCAGAGAACUGUGACCCUGGUGUUCAGGAGCAAACAUAUCCAGCAUGUGCAGAAGGAAACUGCCCCCGGCUGGCAGCCCACUACUUAAUCUGCAUGAAGAGCUGAGCUGGCCAAAGCAGGAGACGGCCAUCCUGGCUGGCAACAGCACUGUCAAAUUUGAUGGGGACACAGUGACCAGGGUAAAGUGCCCAAGCUCUCUGUCAACAAGUAAUCAGCAUGAAGGUCCUAUAACUUCAGGAUGUAUGGGGGAAAACAAGGAAGAGUUUAUCCUGCUGGGAUAUCCCAACCCCCCUUUUCUUGGGAGACCCAGAAAUGUGGCUCUCCCUAAUCUACAACCAUUCACAGACUGAUCUCUCCCUGACAACAGACAGGCAUUCCUCUCUUCCCAGAGGUCUUGUCUACCACCUCCCAAGCCCCUGGCAAAAAGAGACAAGGGUGCCCCUCUAACACACUUGGUUAGGAUCUUCAAAGCCGAGUUCCAAACUGAAACUACCAGCAAGCAGUUCUUCCAGGACUGGGGAACUCAGCUUCAAGUACACUAGGACCUCCUUGCAGAGGCUAUGAGAACCCCUGGUAAGAACUGCUCUGGACAGGAAACAGUCCCUUGGACUGCCCCCUCACCUCUUACCUUGCUACUGGAGUGAAGAUAGGUGGGGGUGACAACUGCAGG